rnacentral:rRNA from 1 species
GGACUACACGGGUUUCUAAUCCCGUUCGCUCCCCUAGCUUUCGUGCAUCAGCGUCAGAAAACGCCCAGUAAGCCGCUUUCGCUCCUGGUGUUCCUUAGGAUAUCAACGCAUUUCACCGCUCCACCCUAAGUUCCGCUUACCUCUGCGUUCCUCAAGCCCAGUAGUUUAGGGCGCAAUUCCUCGGUUGAGCCGAGGGCUUUCACACCCUACUUUCUGAGCCGCCUACGCACCCUUUAAGCCCAGUAAAUCCGAAUAACGUUUGGACGGUACGUAUUACCGCGGCGGCUGGCAC